CCUCUGAGAUGACUCGGGGACAGUGCUGGAGGAGCUGGAGGUCUGCGUUUACUAGCACCCAGAGGGUGCUCUGCACACAGUGGCUCUGAUUUAUGAAAUGGGGCUGUGGGUGGGCUGCGUAAGUGGACUAGUGGUUGGUUGAUGUUAUGGAUGGGCAGUUAGGGGUCCCGCGGGCAGGUUGGAAUUGUGCUGAGGAGCUGACUGGGUGCCGAGUGGGCUGGCCAGCAGUUGGGUUGGUAGGCUGGGCAUCAGAGAGAGAUAGGCCUGGUGAAGGCUGAGUGGGUGUGGGCCAGAGAUGCCCUAAGUAGGGUGUUCACUUGGGUAGCCAGAUGGGAAGCACACACCCCAGGCUGUAGCUGAGCAGGGUGUCACUGAAGGAUGAGUGUGGUGGAGAGACAGGCCCAGGAUGAACCCUGGGCUCCAAUGUCAGACUGGAGAGAUGGGGAGGAAGUGGCAAAGGAGAGCAAGAAAGAAGAGGACCAGGGAGAGCAGGUCCCAGGAGCCAGGGGAAUGAAGUCAUGGGCUCAAAGGACUCUGGCUGAUGAGCAUCCUCACCAGGGUGCACAUGGCUGAUAUCCAGCUGCUCGUGAGAACCUGUCAGGAUGUCGGGAUGAGGAAAAGGGAGCGCUCAGAGCUGGAUGCCUGUAAGGAAACACCAUGGCGGGGGCGGGGGGAGGCAUAGGGGUGCAGCUAGCAGGAAUCAUG
rnacentral:lncRNA from 1 species